GGUGGCUGCGGAGUGCACUAAUUAUGUUCUUGCUAUUACCCAGUAAUGCACCAAAUGUUAGCGGCCGCUACUUUACCGAGCGCCAUUUUGAUUGCGAAGUGAAACAUUAGAUUGAAUUGAUGAGGUUUAAGUCUGGUAAGACGCUUUUAUAGUGCCAUUUCUUGGCAUUGCCACUGUUCUGCUAUGGUUACAUUUCCGAGUGAAGACUGUAAUAGUUUUGCUGCCAAUCAACUUGGUUGGAAGGGGUAACGAUAUUCGACAAGCCAUCGAGUCAAGUGAUAGGUCCAUCAAAGGUUAAAGAGACGAUGGGACAAAGGAAAUCAGUUCAUCAACAGGU